AGGUGGUGUGGGUGAUACCGGCUGUACUGUUGGAGCUUGGACUCAGAGAGGAAUGGUAGAGGGUAAACCUUAGGAGGAACCGGUCACAGGAAAGAGCUCCUUCUGGAACUGUCAAGCACUCGCUUAAACACAGUGUACAACACGGGACUUCACGACCAGAGCUCCUUUUGGCAAGAUGUGUUGUAGCUGGCUUAAGAGAGCAGAUGGAAGCCUCUGCCUCGAGGGCAGGUGCCUCGCACAGACUCAGAGGGGCUAAGCUGCACUCCUGAAGAGCAGCACGAGAAGGGCAGGCUGGUCGUGAGUGGGGUUGGAGCAGGAUGGCCAAGUAGCACAAGGUGACUGCGAAGGGUAUCCAUCUUGCUUUGCAGGUGCAAUGGCAGGCUUUCCACAGAAGUGGCUGAGGAUUCGAGAAGAGGUUACAGAGCAUCAAGGAGCGGCACGUGCAGUGAUGGCUUCCAAAACGGUGAAGAGGUGCCUGAAGCCCCAUCCUGUCUAGCCUGCGCACACCUCGCUAAGAAUGAAAGCUGAUUUCCAGUAAUUCAGACAGCCAAGUUACAUCUCAGCCUCGAGCAUCUGGGGACUGUGCCUGUGCUUUUGGGCCUGUCUGUAGC